rnacentral:rRNA from 1 species
AUUGAACGCUGGCGGCAGGCCUAACACAUGCAAGUCGAACGAGUGGCGGACGGGUGAGUAAUGUAUGGGAAACUGCCUGAUGGAGGGGGAUAACUACGGGAAACGGUAGCUAAUACCGCAUAACAUCUGAUGUGCCGAGAUGGGAUUAGCUAGUAGGUGGGGUAAAGGCUCCCCUAGGCGACGAACCCUAGCUGGGCUGAGCGGAUGACCGGCCACACUGGAACUGAGACACGGUCCAGAGUCCUACGGGAGGCAGCAGUGGGGAAUAUUGCACAAUGGGCGCAAGUCUGAUGCAGCCAUGCCGCGUGUAUGAAGAAGGCCUUCGGGUUGUAAAGUACUGUCAGCGAGGAGGCGUUACUCGCAGAAGAAGCACCGGCUAACUCCGUGCCAGCAGCCGCGGUAAUAC